rnacentral:rRNA from 1 species
UGGGGGAUAUUGCACAAUGGGGGAAACCCUGAUGCAGCGACGCCGCGUGAGUGAAGAAGUAUUUCGGUACGUAAAGCUCUAUCAGCAGGGAAGAAAAAAAGUCCACAGGACUUUGGACGGUACCUGACUAAGAAGCCCCGGCUAACUACGUGCCAGCAGCCGCGGUAAUACGUAGGGGGCAAGCGUUAUCCGGAUUUACUGGGUGUAAAGGGAGCGUAGACGGCUGUGCAAGUCUGAAGUGAAAUGCCGGGGCUCAACCCCGGAACUGCUUUGGAAACUGUACAGCUAGAGUGCAGGAGGGGUGAGCGGAAUUCCUAGUGUAGCGGUGAAAUGCGUAGAUAUUAGGAGGAACACCGGUGGCGAAGGCGGCUCACUGGACUGUAACUGACGUUGAGGCUCGAAAGCGUGGGGAGCAAACAGG